UGGGGAAUUUUGGACAAUGGGCGAAAGCCUGAUCCAGCAAUGCCGCGUGUGUGAAGAAGGCCUUCGGGUUGUAAAGCACUUUUGUCCGGAAAGAAAUCCUUGGCUCUAAUACAGUCGGGGGAUGACGGUACCGGAAGAAUAAGCACCGGCUAACUACGUGCCAGCAGCCGCGGUAAUACGUAGGGUGCAAGCGUUAAUCGGAAUUACUGGGCGUAAAGCGUGCGCAGGCGGUUUGCUAAGACCGAUGUGAAAUCCCCGGGCUCAACCUGGGAACUGCAUUGGUGACUGGCAGGCUAGAGUAUGGCAGAGGGGGGUAGAAUUCCACGUGUAGCAGUGAAAUGCGUAGAGAUGUGGAGGAAUACCGAUGGCGAAGGCAGCCCCCUGGGCCAAUACUGACGCUCAUGCACGAAAGCGUGGGGGAGCAAAACAGGAUUAGAUACCCUGGUAGUCCACGCCCUAAACGAUGUCAACUAGUUGUUGGGGAUUCAUUUCUUAGUAACGUAGCUAACGCGUGAAGUUGACCGCCUGGGGAGUACGGUCGC
rnacentral:rRNA from 1 species